UACGUAGGUGGCAAGCGUUGUCCGGAAUUAUUGGGCGUAAAGCGCGCGCAGGUGGUUUCUUAAGUCUGAUGUGAAAGCCCACGGCUCAACCGUGGAGGGUCAUUGGAAACUGGGGAACUUGAGUGCAGAAGAGGAAAGUGGAAUUCCAGGUGUAGCGGUGAAAUGCGUAGAUAUCUGGAGGAACACCGGUGGCGAAGGCGGCAUCCUGGACCAACACUGACACUGAGGAGCGAAAGCCAGGGGAGCAAACGGG
rnacentral:rRNA from 1 species